rnacentral:rRNA from 1 species
UGGGGAAUAUUGGACAAUGGGCGCAAGCCUGAUCCAGCCAUGCCGCGUGAGUGAUGAAGGCCCUAGGGUUGUAAAGCUCUUUCAGCGAGGAGGAUAAUGACGUUACUCGCAGAAGAAGCCCCGGCUAACUUCGUGCCAGCAGCCGCGGUAAUACGAAGGGGGCUAGCGUUGUUCGGAAUCACUGGGCGUAAAGCGCACGUAGGCGGACUUUUAAGUCAGGGGUGAAAUCCCGGGGCUCAACCUCGGAACUGCCUUUGAUACUGGAAGUCUGGAGUCCGAGAGAGGUGAGUGGAACUCCGAGUGUAGAGGUGAAAUUCGUAGAUAUUCGGAAGAACACCAGUGGCGAAGGCGGCUCACUGGCUCGGUACUGACGCUGAGGUGCGAAAGCGUGGGGAGCAAAACAGGAUUAGAUACCCUGGUAGUCCACGCCGUAAACGAUGGAAGCUAGCCGUCAGGGUGCAUGCAUCUUGGUGGCGCAGUUAACGCAUUAAGCUUCCCGCCUGGGGAGUACGGUCGCAAGAUUAAAAACUC